GUCACCAGGCAACCCCACGGUGACCUCGUUCCCUCCGCGGUCCCGUUACGGCCGGGCUUGGAGGGCGCUACCCGGAGGGCGGCGGGCGGCUGGGGGCGGGGAUUCCCGGGCACACGAGCGCGCGCGCGCGCGGCAACACUAUCCGGUCCACUCCGUCCCGGGACCGGCUCGAGCGGCCGCUGCCCCAGCACGUCACCCCACCAUCCCCAGCCCGGUACGGACCCGGACGCGGUCGCGCACCGCUACCUGCAGCUAGGUGCAGUGCUCCUUUGGUGAGGAUCUCCUACCUCCCAAUGUCCUGGACCUUCCUACUGGUGGAGGAGCAAAGAGGAUACUCACGGACUCUUCCGCUCAGCCCUGCAGUGUUUGAACAUCUGCUAGAAGCCAGCCCUCUGCAGGGUCUUUGAGGAGGAAGAAGGAAAUACACCAUUGGUCUGAAAUGCCAGAAGCCUGCUGGCUGUUUUGUUUCCUGCCCCUUUAGAAGGGGAUGAAAUACCAGCCUCCGAGCACCAGAUGCCUAUUAGUCUUUGUCGCUGAGCAAGAAGAAUAGAGAGUCCAUGGUAUUCACUUUGUUUGGCCUGCCAGAUUUUUAUUUAUUUAUUUGAGAGAGAGAGAGUGAGCCAGUAGAGAGGACAAGCAGGGGGAGCAGCAGAGGGAGAGGGAUUCCAGGACCCCAGCAUCAUGACCUGAGCCAAAGGCAGACGCUUAACCAACUGAGCCACCCAGGUGAACCCGCUGAGUAAAUUUCAUACCAAAAUAUUAUGUAGUAAUUAUGAAUUAUAUUUUUAAAGGAUUUUUAAUGAUGGAAACAUUCAUUAUAUGGUAAGUGAAAAUAAAACAAUAUAAAAUUGUAUAUAUCAUACUGUUUUUUUUUUUAAUGCAUAGACAAAAGCCUGAGGGGGUGAAAAUGCACAUAUGUAUUAAUGUGAUUUGAGGAGGUAAAAUUACAGGUAAUAUUAAAACUUACUUGGUAAAGUUUAAUAUUUUCCAGAAAUACUAUAAAGCACAGUUUUUUUAUGUAAUCAGAAUGAACAAAAAUGUUGUAGUUUUGCGAUUAUAACUGACCUCUAACAGUUGUCCUGUUCUGUGCCUCAAGGGCACUGGUAGUCAGCCCCUGUGUUAACACAAGGGCUCCUUAAGUCAGCAUGGAACAGUCUGUAAGACCACGAGGUGAGGAGAAAACAGGCAGCUGGCUGUCCCCGUAGAGUCCAGUGGGUCCAUGCUGCUCUGGGGCCCUAAGAGUCCUUUGAUGGCCACUGGCUGACACAAACAAAAGUGAGUCUUCUGAUUUGGGUUAUGGUUUAUUGGUAUUUGUGCAUGACCAAUACAUAUUCCUGAAGAUUUCAUUUUUAGGUAAGUUAUGUAAAACAGGUUACCUUCUACAUAAAUUAUUAAAGAUUAUUACAAUUUGAUAGUUACCAAGAAAAGGGGAUUAUGUCACGUUUCCACACAUUUUCCAGCCUUUCAAAUCCAAGUAUGGUGCCUCAGCCCUCACUCAUCUUAGACGUUCUUCGCUGGAGCUUCUGCUUGUCGCCCAUCCCUUCUUGUUUGGCUCAGUGGCUCCUGAUUCCCCACUGUUUCCCCCUGGCAUCCUUGUCAUCACCUGCGAGCUGAAGACUUCUCUCACCAGUGCCUUCCUAAAUCCCCAGGGAUUGCGAAGCAACGCAGCUGGCCUAACAGAAUUGACUGAAGAUCGGAGGUUGGCAUGGGGCCUUUGCAUGCUGGAAAGGAAAAAGGCAGAAGGCAGUGGGGUCUCAGCAUAUGACCAUCACAGAUACUGCCUCUCUUCCGGCCCAUGUGGGCCUUUUUGCAAAUCCCUGGCCUCUGCUUCCUACAAACCAGCGCCUCUUCUCCCAUCUUUGCCUCUCACUGAGUCCCCACUCCUUGGUCCCCCAUGCUACUUCUUACCCAGUGGAGGAAACCCCAGGAACCCACAGCACAACAAAUGUGCCUCCCUGUCCAAGGAAGGUAGCUUUUUUCCAUAGAGAAAUUUUAGCCUUGUUCUGUCCAAACCACUCCUACCUGGGUGAAGUGUAAGCCUAAAGUCUACUAAAGCGUUUUCCCAUUAAAAAAGAAAAAUUACUUCCAAGGAAAAAUUCUGCAGUUACUACCUAAAGUAAGGAGCAUCAACAGCAAAGAGUCUUUAAAACAGUAAGGCUCUCCCACUCCCCCUCUAGAGCCCACGUGUCCUCUCAUUAAGUCCUUUAUUAAAGUUGCUGACACAGUGGCUGUUUACCAACCAGGAUGGAAACAUUUUAGUAUUUUUGUAACCAACAAUGUUUCAGUAUUUUAAUAGCUGAGGGCUUACCUGCUGCUUGUCAGCCCUGAACAUAGAGAUACAGAAUUCUAGAAUCCCUGAGUUGGGAGAUAUAAGCAGUCUCUAAAAAAAUCUUCUGAAUGAUGCCUCUGGAUGAGGAGCUCCUCAGAAGCGAAGACUGCCAUGCCUCCCGCAGUGGCUGGCACCCUGCAGAUGCUCUGUGACUGAUGACCGGUUCAACAAGAGGACGAGCCAACACUCACUGCUGUUUCAUUGAUAGAUUGGCGCCCCCUGGUCUUUUCUGGUCAAGUGUUAGGUAGCCCAUUUUCAUGGAAAGCAGCUGGUGAUUCUGUGGAUCUCUCCUAUCUUUGUGCAGGAAAAUGUGACUUUUAGGAAUUUUACUCUUUUGUUUUUUGAUAACUGUUCAGAGCAAAUGUCUGGAUCUCUCUUUAUAUUCUAUCACACAUAUCAUGUUAGAUAUGUCGUAUAUGUGUUAACAUGGGUCUAUUAUAUACAUUUCUGUUCUGAUUUCUAUCUUCUUUCAGGUAACUGUCUUUUCCUAUCACAAUGCCUUAGCCUCAAAAUUUUCUACUAUUCUUUAGGCUAUAGUCGUAGCAGAAAAGAAUCACUAGCUGGGAUGGGGAGGCAGAAGGUACAGCAAAACCAAGAAGAGUGUAGCACAGACAGGAGGGGCACAGAAGCCUCAGUAGAACUGAGCUCUCCUUCCCUUGGCCUUCAGCUAAGACCAGUCCUCUCUUGUGGAAUCAUUUACAUGGACCUUGAACACCAGAGCUCUGCAGACGGUGGGGCAACUACACAUGCUCUGGGGACAGGGGACAGCUGGGACAGCCUGGAGUGAUUGGUGCCCAAGCCUGUUGGAGAAAGUAGUUCUGCCACAGGCUCAAGCUUAUAAUGACAAGGUUCUCUAGGGACGCAUACCAGCUGUGCUGUACUUCAAAUUAGUGGAAUCUAGCAUGACCGGCAAGAUGUUUAUUUUGUGAAACUGCCUCUGCAUCUCUUUUGGGGCUGAAUUUGCUAUAUUCUCCAUGUUUAGUAUGACAAUGAUUACUGUUGCUGUUAAUGAUAAUGAGAACAAAAUGCAAAGUCUUUCACCAAAAUUAUGUCUACUUCUCAUGGCACUACCACGAUGUGGACACUACUAUUUUCAUCUUACAGAUGCUGAUCACACAGAAAAUAGGAGAGCCAGGCAAUGAAUAGAUAUAAAAUAUAUACCCCUUCCUCUCUACAUGGAUUCGUGCCAAGUAACACAAGAGGCCUGCUUGCUCUUGACCGAAGGGCAAGGGCGAAACUGUAGGCUCACACUCUUCCCUCCUCCCAAGAGAUAGGGGAGGUUUCCAAGUUUCCAAUUUCCUUCUGUUUUCAACAAAAUAGGAACCUUACUAUUAUCUCAUUCAAGCAUAACACAGAGAAGUAGGGCGGUGGUGGAAAGGCUCAAGAAAAGGUCCAGUUCUAAUGCUGCCGAAAUAAGAAGGAUGGGAAAAUUAGGGCUGCCCUCCGCAUCUCCCACCCCGAACACGGGGCUACCUACAUAUUCAGCCUGCUGUGUAGGAAUCACAUGGUCUGGUUACGUUAUGGAAACAACUUCGUGGUUGCAAACAGUCACAACUGCCAGCCACACUGGACUGAGCUUACUUGACCAUCAGAGAAAUGCCCACGUGAACACAUACAGACAUACAUGUAGUUUAUGUGUCCAGUCGGUUCUCAUUAUUCACAGAAUCUGUAUUUGUGAAUCCACCUGUUUGCCCAGAUUUAUUUGUCCCCCCGCCCCCAGUCCAUCUUUGGGGCACUUUGGCAGUCAUUCAUAGGUAGGCAGAGAGCAGUGAAAAACUGGAGUCCCUGAUACAGUUGCACUUUCUUCCCCGCUGAGCUGAACAGGACAACAUGCUGACUCCUUAUUUCAGCUCUCAUCUGGUCAACCAGUGUCCUUUUCAUGUCUAUUUAGUGCCUCCUUAUGUGUUUUUUGUUGAUGAAUUUGCUGUUUCUAAUGACCUCCAAGUAUCUGAAAUGCUGUCUAGUGUGCCCGAGCGUGUGUGGGACGAUGACGUGCCCUCCAGAGAAAAUCCAUGUGUCAGCAAUGAUUCGAUUGCGCCAGCAUGAUGAUGUUGCUUAGCUGCUGCGAAGAGGGAGCGCCCAUGGGCUAUAACGGUUUGCGAGUGUUACUGCAAAAGCACUUACUUGGAAUACGGACUGCAUUCCGUGCAACGUUUUUACUCCAGAAAUCUGUCCAAGAGUUUGUUAUCUAGUUGAUAAAUGAACUUUUGGACAUAAUAUUCUGUCCAAAUCUCUUUGGCUGUGUCAACAUCGACAGUAUCCUUAACCAACAACAACUGACUGAGUGAGACCCUGUCAAAGACAAACCUGAGUCCUCCAGAUCCAUUCCCCUCCUGCUGCCAUGAGGGAGUAAAGAUCUCCACUUACAAUUUUUAUUAGAGUGGGGCUAAAGGGAAUGCUGCCAGAUGAAAACCCAGGCCUACAAAAAAAUAAUAAAAAGCAUUGGAAAUGGAAGAAGUUUCUGUGGCUGAGGUCAAAGAGGUUGCUGCCACUGUUCUCCUCCAGGAUUUUGAUGGAUUCCUGUCUGACACUGAGGUCUUUCAUCCAUAUUGCAACCAGAACAUGAGACGAGACAGAAAAUUUAAGCAUCACAAACGCGAACUUGCUUAGUGUGGCAGAAUGCCUGAGGGAGCCGGGAGAUGCUGAGAGAGGGAAGGAGAGACUAGAGAAAGGAUGAGGAGAAAGGACCACAGAGAGGACAUAUGGGACACAGUGUGAAGGUACCUAUCUGCAAGCCAGGAAGUGAGAUCACAUCAGAAACCAACCUGAUGGCACCUUGACCUUGGACUUCAGUUAUCUCCAGAAGUGGAAGAAAUGAAUGAUCUGGAGGACAUGACAUUGUGACACAAGCAAGACUCCCCGGCACAUCCUGACUCAGGAAAAAAAGGCUACGUCACCGCAGUCCUUUAUGACAAGGAGAACAUCUCACUGCCUCUACCCUUACUACCUUCAUCUGCUCAAAUGUUCUCCAUGGAUCCACAACCAACAAAACAGACAUCUGUAGGAGGCACAGCAAAGACCCACGACAGGGCCUUUGUUCACUCUCACCCCUGCUGUCCUCACAUGGAGGCGGCGAGUGUCUAUGAGACACAGAAGCCGACUUGACAGUCCACUGUGGUCCAG